rnacentral:rRNA from 1 species
AUUGAACGCUGGCGGCAGGCCUAACACAUGCAAGUCGAGCGGAUGAAGGGAGCUUGCUCCUGGAUUCAGCGGCGGACGGGUGAGUAAUGCCUAGGAAUCUGCCUGGUAGUGGGGGAUAACGUCCGGAAACGGGCGCUAAUACCGCAUAAUGUCUACUGACCAAAGAUUUAUCGCCCAAGGAUGGGCCCGCGUUGGAUUAGCUAGAUGGUGGGGUAACGGCCUACCAUGGCGACGAUCCAUAGCUGGUUUGAGAGGAUGAUCAGCCACACUGGGACUGAGACACGGCCCAGACUCCUACGGGAGGCAGCAGUGGGGAAUCUUGGACAAUGGGGGCAACCCUGAUCCAGCCAUGCCGCGUGAGUGACGAAGGCCUUAGGGUUGUAAAACUCUUUCAGCGGGACGAUAAUGACGGUACCCGCAGAAGAAGCCCCGGCUAACUCCGUGCCAGCAGCAGCCGC